rnacentral:lncRNA from 1 species
CAAAGGUCCACUCAGUUUCAAGGGGUGGUAACAUGGACCCCACUUCUCAGUGGAGGAACAUCAAUGUCACAUUAUGAGAAGAACACGUGGGACGGACAUGUAUUGUGCUGCUGUCUUUGGAAAAUACAAUCUGGUACAACUCCCUACUGGUGGGAUCUCACACACAAACGGAGCCCAGUCAGCGAUGACCAGAAAGUUUCCUGCUUUGAAGUAGGCCUUCCCUGGGCUCAAGGAGGAGCUUAAAGACUGAAGGUUCUGGGGACUAGGAUGUGGACAUAUUUUUUGGGAGGGCCACCAUUCAACCCACCACAAUGCCAAUUUUACAGAUGAUGAAACCGAGUAACUUGCUAAAGCAACACAGCUAGUAAUAGCAGAACAGAGAAGGCAAUCCAGGCAGUCUGGCUCUGAAGCCCAUGUUCUUAGCAGAGAAAUGAGGGGACAAGACCAGUUCUGGAGGCUAGAAGUCCAACAUUUGCAGUUGGCAAGCUGGAGACCCAGGAGAGCCAAUGGUACAGUUCCAACCUGAGUCUGAAGAUCUAAGAACUGGCAGAGCUGAUGGUAUGAGUUCCAGUUCAUGUUUGAGUCCAGGGGCAGGAGAAGACCAAUCUCCCAGCUUGAAGACAGUCAGGCAGAGGGAAGAUGCUGAAUUUACUGUGCAUUAAAAAGAGAGGAUGGAAAAGAAAUCAACGAUACAAUAAGGAGCUCAGAGGACUGGACUAACAAACUCCUUCAAGAGAGCCUGCUGUGGGGAGCAGAGUGGACUGAAAGGCCUAGCUGCUCUGCCCUGGAUCCACAGUAGCAUUGCUGAAGCCACGCUUCCCCCAGACUGUUUCUAGCCAAUAACUGAGCAGAAGGAGAAAAUUGAAGGCCAUGGAAUGAAGUCAAUUGCCAAAGUCACACCCCUAGAACAAAUGGAUGCCGUUUUGGCAACAAUUUUAAAUCUCCACUCUCGCAGUAUUGUCUCAGGCUAUCUGGGGAAACUUCACAUCUGAUUUGACUUGGGUUCCAGUUCCUGCCGCCAGCUUGCAGCAAACUGGCUCAGCUGACGUGGUCACCCUUGGAGAAUUCAAAGUUGGGGACAUAGCUGUCCUCUGUACAGAAGUGGAGGAGGAAGGGCUGAGUGUCAGGAAGGCCCACGUGAAUGGAGAUGACAAACUCUCAAUUCGACCAGGCUCUCCAAACGACAGGGCAGGUGAGUUUGAAUGGGGUCUCUGAUCUUACGACGUGAGCAAGGGCCAAGGGUGGCAUGUUCCAGCAAACUUCCUUGUUUGGAAGGACACCGAGACAACAAGCUUUUGCCAGGUGGCUCACACGCCAGGUUUUCCUUUAAGCUAUGUUUUUGAGCUCUGCCUGCAGAAGGCACUUCAAUUGCUCCUCAGUCUCAUAACCCCCCUUUCUCUGUUGUGAGCUUUCUCCUCGACAUUGCUGCUCAGGGGAAGAGAGAGAUUAAAGAGGUG